CUCAGUCGCCUCGACCAUCUUCAGCACCAGUCCCUCUCCAUCUCCCCCCUUCUCUCUCUCUCUCUCUCUCUCUCUCUCUCUCUCUCUCUCUCUCUCUCUCUCCUCACAUGCAGAAGAAUUGUUCUCCAUGAGUCGCUCCGCUUCACUCACGGCUGGAUUUUUGCGUUUAUGAUUCUCCUCAAACAGUUCGUUUUAUGAGGCUUGAUUUUUUUGCGGCAGGAGAGAAAAUGGCUCAAAGCGCGCUGCUUUUUUUAUUAUGGCUAUUCGGCACAUCUCUCGCUGGCUUCCCCAAUCAGAUAAAUAUCGGUGGGCUCUUCAUGCGUUCCACCGUGCAAGAACACAGCGCUUUCAGAUUCGCUGUGCAGCUCUACAACACCAAUCAGAACAUGACUGAGAAACCCUUCCAUCUCAAUUACAACGUAGAUAACCUGGAGUCAUCCAACAGUUUCUCUGUCACUCAUGCAUUUUGUUCGCAGUUCUCCAGAGGGGUGUACGCCAUCUUCGGCUUUUAUGACAAGAAGUCUAUGAACACGCUGACCUCCUUCUGCGGAGCCCUCCACACCUCCUUCGUCACACCCAGCUACCCCAUCGACUCAGACGUGCAGUUUGUCAUCCAGAUGCGCCCUCCUUUGAAGGGCGCCGUCCUGAGUCUCCUGUCUCACUACAAGUGGGACAAGUUUGUCUACCUCUAUGACACAGACAGAGGAUUUUCCAUUCUUCAAGCCAUAAUGGAGGCAGCAGUGGCAAACAACUGGCAAGUUACAGCGCGGUCGGUGGGCAGCAUAACGGACCCCCAAGAGUUCCGGCGCAUCAUUGAGGAAAUGGACAGGAGACAGGAGAAACGCUACCUCAUCGACUGUGAAGUGGACAGAAUCAAUGUCAUCUUGGAGCAGGUUGUGACACUUGGAAAGAACAGUCGGGGUUACCAUUACGUUAUUGCCAAUCUGGGCUUCACCAACAUCAGUCUGGACAAGGUGUUUCUCGGCGGAGCAAACAUUAGCGGCUUCCAGAUAAUCAAUCCGGAAAACUCAGUUGUACAGCAAUUUCUCCAGAGAUGGGAUCGUCUAGAUGAAAGAGAGUUUCCUGAAGCUAGAAACACACCUCUGAAGUAUACUUCAGCGCUGUCUUAUGAUGCUAUCCUGGUCAUUGCGGAGGCGUUCCGGUACCUACGCCGCCAGCGAGUAGACGUGUCCAGGCGAGGCAGUGCAGGCGAUUGCUUGGCUAACCCUGCGGUCCCUUGGAGCCAAGGAAUUGACAUCGAACGAGCUCUCAAAAUGGUCCAAGUGCAAGGAAUGACUGGCAAUAUCCAGUUUGACAGCUUUGGUCGUAGAUCAAACUACACUAUUGAUGUUUAUGAAAUGAAAACAGGGGGACCAAGAAAGAUCGGAUACUGGAACGAGUUUGAGCGCUUUGUUAAUAUAAUGGAUCAGCAGUUCACCAACGAUUCCUCCUCAGUGGAAAACCGAACAAUUGUGGUCACUACUAUUAUGGAAGCACCAUAUGUGAUGUACAAGAAAAACCACAUGCAUCUGGAAGGCAAUGACAAGUAUGAAGGCUACUGUGUCGAUUUAGCUUCUGAGAUUGCCAAACAUGUUGGGAUUAAGUACAGACUGUCCAUAGUCAUGGACGGAAAAUAUGGCGCCCGUGACCCUGAGACCAAGACUUGGAACGGGAUGGUGGGUGAACUAGUCUAUGGGAGAGCAGAUAUAGCUGUCGCACCGUUAACAAUCACGCUUGUGCGAGAGGAAGUCAUUGACUUUUCUAAGCCCUUCAUGAGUUUGGGCAUCUCCAUUAUGAUCAAGAAACCUCAGAAGUCCAAGCCGGGUGUGUUCUCUUUCCUGGACCCUCUGGCAUACGAGAUCUGGAUGUGUAUCGUUUUUGCCUACAUUGGCGUCAGUGUGGUGCUGUUCCUCGUGAGCCGCUUCAGCCCCUACGAGUGGCACCUGGAUGAGACUGAUGAAGCCAAAGACCCCCAGACCCCUCCAGACCCGCCUAAUGACUUUGGGAUUUUUAACAGCCUGUGGUUCUCUCUUGGGGCCUUCAUGCAGCAGGGCUGUGAUAUCUCACCAAGGUCCUUAUCGGGCAGAAUAGUGGGAGGCGUCUGGUGGUUCUUCACCCUCAUCAUAAUCUCGUCCUACACGGCCAACCUAGCUGCUUUCCUCACAGUGGAGAGGAUGGUCUCUCCCAUAGAGAGCGCUGAAGAUCUAGCCAAACAAACAGAGAUUGCAUACGGAACCUUGGACUCAGGAUCAACCAAAGAGUUCUUUAGGCGUUCAAAAAUAGCAGUGUAUGAAAAAAUGUGGUCGUACAUGAAAUCGGCCGAGCCCUCCGUCUUCGCCAAGACCACACCGGACGGAGUGGCACGGGUACGAAAGUCGAAGGGCAAAUUCGCCUUUCUUCUCGAAUCCACCAUGAACGAAUACAUUGAGCAGAGGAAGCCCUGCGACACCAUGAAAGUGGGCGGCAAUCUGGACUCUAAGGGCUAUGGUGUGGCGACCCCCAAAGGCUCAGCAUUAAGAAAUGCUGUUAACCUGGCAGUUUUAAAACUGAAUGAGCAAGGCCUGUUGGACAAAUUGAAAAACAAAUGGUGGUACGACAAGGGAGAGUGCGGCAGCGGGGGAGGUGACUCCAAGGUCAGCCUCAAUGUCACCGAAAUCGGGUACCAUAGUGCAGAGUAAUCGGCAAGCCUGUUAUUCCUGAACUGAGCCAAACCAAAUCCAAAGAAAAACGCAUCCUUUCAGUGACCCCACAUUAAUGUGCCAUCUGAGAGCAAAACCAGAACCCUGACUUGGCUAACGGAGGAGAGAAAAUGACCAGUAUGAUUUUGUCCUACUGAGGAGAAGUAAUCUUGUUUUUUUUUUUUGUUUUUUUAAAACACUAGCGCUUACCCACAGAUGUUAGCGAUGCUGUCAGUGUUGUUCGAUUAGCAGCUAGAGCUGCGCUAGCUCAUUAGCCAUAUUAGCGCUGAGACUGGUGAACUGUUCAUGUUUUAGGAAUCAGGCAAAACAUCCGCCUAGCAGACAGUAAAGAGAGAUUUCAGAUUGCCUUCUCGCUUUGCUUCUGCUAGGCAGCUGUCAACGGAGGAUAACCUAGUCUUGUUAGUUAGUUUUCCUUUAUGGCUAAGGUUAGUCUAUUGUAACUCGGGCAGAAUAACAAUGCUACCUAUCACCAAUUUAUGCCAGACAUUAAAGUGGAAGGUGUAAAGUCCCUUUCCAAAACCAGCAGUGUGUUUACACUUAGUAGAAUCAACCUACCAAUGGAUAUGUAUGUACUUACUGGUUAUGUAAACUUCAGCACACUUCAGCUUUAAUGUCUGACAGAAACUAAAAGACUGUAGGUUUAGUCUCAUCAAGGCUGGUAAGAGAAAACACUGACACAAACAAUGUGAUCUGAGGCUUGAGGGGCUAAGAAUAGCACACAUACAAGAGAAUUCCCAUCUCCACACCAAUCUGAACAUAGGAUCAGAAAUCCAUUCCUUCAUUUGAUCCUGGCUGUUUUUCCUUCCUCCACGAAGGCAAUGUUAACCCACACAGCAGGGUAAAUGUGGAACGUGUUUAGCCCUUAUUUUGUACUCAUAUGGAGGUGAAGAUUAACUGAUGUGCUACCCUUAGACUUUCCAGUUCAUUUCACAUCAUACAGAAGGGCAAUUUUAUAUGGAACUGUUCUUGUUGUUUGUUUUGGGAAUAAUAGUAAAAAUGGGGACACACAUGAUGAGGGCUAACAGUGCUUUUUCAUGCGUGUCCCAGACUCUCCAUGAAAGUGUACAACGUUAAAAGCCUCAUUUUCAGGACCUAAAAUUUUGCCGAAGUGGAGCACGGAUGUCGUUUGUAUAAUAAAUGCAAUAUAGAGCAGAAAUUUUCUCGGCAUGUAAAAAGGAUUUAUGUAACCACUAAAAGCAUUUCAAUUUAAGUGAAAUUUCUUGCAAUCUACCAAAAUAGUUCAGUGUACAUUUGCAUAACAUUUAGGAUUGUAAAUGCUAGCUUUUCACCACUUAAAAUAUAACAAAUUUUAGUGCUUGAAUAGGUUGCCUAAUCUCAGUUUUGGGGAUGUUGGGAAGAUUUUUUAUUUGAUUUAAAGUCAACAUGAAAUGGCAUUCGCCACUUUCGUAUGUGACAUUUCUGAGUGAAAUUUGGUGAUUAUUGAUAGUUCAAAAAGAAAACAACUAUGUAGGGCUGUUGUUAUUUGCUAUUAUAUGUUUUAAUACAUUAACCAGCAUUAAAUUACUGCACUGACUAUUGCAUACUAAGAUUUUAGAAAGGCUGGAUUACUCAGAAAAGAAAAAGGCAACCCAGGCUCAUUGGGAAAAAUGUGUCUCUUUGCAAAACUGCAAAAACAUACUGAUACAUACAAUUUUGCUUCAUAUGUAUGGCUUUUCUUACUUAGUAAACUUGCUCGGAAGCUCACCUGGUACAGCAUUGGACUUAUGAUGCAGAGUGCUCAGGUACGAGUCUUGUGAAACAUUAGUCACAAUUAAAGCUAAAAUGCUAAAAUGUCAUGGUUGCUUCAGCAAAUGUGUUUUUAUCUCACGUUUGCUUUUGUUAAACCUAACCAAUAGUGUUAAGGUCAGGUUUAAUGUAGAUGGUACAUUAUUUUCAAAAAACUCAAUACUCAAUAGAGCUUUAAACUUUUAGCUCCACUUACCAGACAUUUCAUUUCUGAACUGCAGUGAUACAUACAACAACCAAAAUAAUAAACGUUGCCAGAUUCAAAUUCAUCUGUUUCAGAUUAAACUGAACAUGCUUUCAGCGCCACUCACUCGAUAUUUCACUUUGAAACAUGCAAGAAGCAAAGUAAUAUCAUUUUGCACAAAUUCCGCCACAUGCACGUUUUUCCAAUGAGCUUGGAUUAGAAAAAGACAUAAACAUGCCAUCAUAGGAAGUAUGGCCUAAGUGACAUCAUCCAAAAACAAAAGCCAUUUUGUCUGAGGCAAGCGAGUCUUUACAUUUUGAUCAAAGAUAACAGGCACUGGUGAACCGCACACAUUUAGACCAGAAAUGUGUAUUCAGGCAAAUUUAUUAGGCAAGUUUGGAUUUCAUGUUGACUUAAAUUGUAAUUUCUUGGACUUUUCCAUAGUUUUCUAUUUCCUGAAAAUGGGGCCUAAAGUCUUUCAAAUAACGUCUGUGCUAAUUAUUAGGGAGCAGGUUUUUCAGUACGAUCAAAAACAUUGUGCCCCCUGCCUGUGGAUGAAGGUGAAAGGUUAUGUGAGCUUUCAUAAUCACCUUCUUUGUUCCAGCUCUCUGUUUUUGCAGUUUGCAGUGAUUUGAAGCCCCCAUUAGUCGACACGCAGUGGAUGGGCUAGCUCUAAUGAUCUAAUGCAGUGAGUCUACAGUGGCACGUCUGGACCCAGCCGCACAGCCAGCUGUGGAAAAACAGAACAAAAAGAGAGAAAAACAGGAGAAAAAUCCACAUUAAGCCACCUGCAACAAACAGACAUCAUGAGUCACACAACCCGUUCUCCUCUCGGCCCCUGGCAGCCUGCUGCCAUCCUUGCUGCUGAUAGGUUUCCCACUCCAGUCGCUCCAAACGCUCUGAGGAUAAUUACGUUGUUAAUCAAUGUCUCUCCCCAAGCUAAAAGAAAUGUUAGGACCACAAAGCUAAAUCAGUAGCAGCCAUGAGAAAUGUAAAGAACAUUUAAGCGACUAAUUAUGUCUAGAGGAGUGAUGGCAUGGCUUUCUAUUAUAGUUAAAAAAAAAAAAAGAGUUAACUGUCUAUUAUAGUUAAAAAAAAAUGUAAUCAUAGCAGUUUACAUAUCUUUUUAGAAAAAAUGUCAUUCUGUAGCACUAAUAUUUAGGAUAUAAAACACUUAAAGUCAACAUGAAAUGAUAACCGCAACCCAUUCAACGUGUAUUUAAAGUUAAAUGUGAUAUUCAACAAGAAAAAAAAAAUCUGCACUUUAUUUCAAUCAACAAGAACUGAUUGCAUAUUGUGGAAAAGCGAUAUGGCAAGCAUUCAUUACACUGAAAAAAAGAAAAUGGAUUUAUUCUGAAACAAUUUUCACUCAGAAAUUGCUAGUAAAUUUCACAAAUAAUGAGAAAGGCAAAUAAUCAAGAAAUGGCAAGUACAUCGAAUAAACUUGAAAUUUUGAAGUAGAAAGCCUGAAAUACUAUUUUCUUUUAAUACAUACUCUAAUAAUAUUUAUUUACAACAAUUUUAUACAGUAUACAAAAAUCAAUUGUGCAGUAUGGAAGCUCGUUUCCACCAUGAAAUUUAAAAAAAAAAAAAAAAAAAUGUAAUUGCUGCUUUUUUCUCUGACAAUUCUGACUUUAUUUCUCAAAAUUCCAAGUUUGUAAUUUGCAAUUCUGAUUUUUUUUUUUUUCCUCAGAAUUGUGAUAUAAACUCAACACUGCAAAAUUAAAAUGUCAGAAUUGUGAUUAUAUAUAUAUAUAUAUAUAUUAGUUACUCUGUGGCAGAAACAAGCUUCCACAGAGCAGGAUAUAAGUGAUUUCAGAGGCAGAGCAGAUUAUUGCAUUUUGAUAAAAGAUUUGGAAUCAAAUUUUGAUUUCAUGUUGACUUUAAUCAUCUGAAACAUCUACUAGCAUUACAUAUAACUAAAGGGUACAAUCCAAAAUGGCUUCUACAUCAAUUAUUGAUCAAAAGUAGAUUGUUUAUUUACAAUAGUCCCUGCUUCGUUAGCCGCUAAUGCUAAUGUCAUUUACAGGACCUGUAGCCACCGAUUAGCAAGACGUAGUAUUACUGCAGUAGGCAGCAGUUUGGGUUAAUGCCGCAUUAACUCCAGAACACAGGUAAACGCAAAGUUUUCCUUGGUAAAUGCUUUCACUAUUUGUGUCCGGUCUUGUUUACUUUUGUAUGUGUGUCUGCUUGUUUGGUUUCUUUGUACUCUCCGCCUAUAAUCCGUUCACAGAGUCCUAACGUCAACUCUCCUCAGCCUGAGCAAAAUACUACUGGUAAUUUUCAUUGGUCUGUCAGUCAGUCGAGGGUUCCAGUGGAGAUCUACAUUCUCAGAUGAUCAAAUUAACCAAGAAGCUUCUCUGCUUUUAUAGUCACGCAGGCGAUCUCUUCAGAAACCUGCCCGUUCUUCUCUUAACAGUGUAUGCCGAUUACUCAAAGCGAUACGGGUAGGUCCUGGCACACUAGAUUAGCCCUGGUGAAUGGAAGGUACUAGUCAGAAUGCCUGCCACAUGUGUGUUGAUAAUGGCCAGGAGCCCUGCUUUAUCGCUUUGUAAAGUAUGAAGUAGUUAAGACUUGAAUAACAUAAAAUAACAUAAUAUAAUGUUAUUUAUGUUAUUUCCCACGUGAAGAACUCCUGUAAACCUUGCAGUAUUGAAACUCAGUGAACAAGGCAUCUUAGCCAAGCUGAAAAACAAAUGGUGGUACGAUAAGGGUGAAUGUGGAACCAAGGACUCGGGAAGUAAGGACAAGACAAGUGCACUGAGCCUGAGCAAUGUUG